GGUGGGAGACCGAUAGUGAACAAGUACCGCGAGGGAAAGAUCAAAAGCACUUUGAAAAGAGGGUGAAAAGAACCUGAAACUGUUACGAGGAAAGCGGAUUGCGUUGGAUUGAAAAGCUUUUUUGUGUGUUCAGCCUUUACUGGUGUACUCAUACGAAAAGGUUAACCAUCGUGGCUAUUUGACGACUGAUUUUGAGUUGUUGAAUGGUGAGGGAUCCCCUUUAUUGGGUGAGGACGAUGGUGUGACAACGCGAUACGACCCGUCUUGAAACACGGACCAAGGAGUCUAGCACAAUUGCGAGUCGAAUGGUGUGAAAACCUGAGGGCGCAGUGAAAGCGAAUCAUUUAAAAACGAUCAGUUUGAGGCGGCAUAAAAUCGUUGAUUUUAGGUCUGACCUAGAGCAGUUGUGCUGGGACCCGAAAGAUGGUGAACUAUACUUGAGUAGGGCAAAGCCAGAAGAAAUUCUGGUGGAGGCUCGCAGCGGUGCUGACGUGCAAAUCGCUCGUCGAACUUGAGUAUAGGGGCGAAAGACUCAUCGAACCAUCUAGUAGCUGGUUCCCUCCGAAGUUUCUCUCAGGAUAGCGGGCCGACAUGACGUUGUUUUGUGCGGUAAAGC
rnacentral:rRNA from 1 species